UUGUCAUUUUUGUUGCCUAGGCAGACGCCUAGUUGCUAAAAGUCAAGGCGUUUGGGCGAGGUGCCCAGCCAAGGGUGCCUAGUCGCUUAGGCGAUGCCUUGACAACUAUGACAGGCAUCAAAGCCAUGAUAGGACAGAUUUCUUCUCACAUUGUUCAAAACGGUUGGAUGAAUUGUACAUCUUCCUCAGGGUAGUUCAGUGUUGAAAAUUUGAUAGAGCUGAUUCACAUCAGGGUAGUUCAGUGGCUGAAAUCAUCGGACCUAUUCACAGAUUUUACUGUGGAUGAUCUGCCAAGGAAUUGGAGAGAGAUUGGCAGAUUGCUAGCAGUGCCUAGGUCAAAAUGUGUCUAAGUCUGUCUUGAACCCCUCCCCCACUAGAUUUAUAAAGCUGAACUUUGAUGGUAGUAGUAGAGGGAAUCCUGGGCAGUCAGGCAUAUGGGGUGUAUUUAGGGAUGGGAAUGGGACUGUUUUAGCUCUGUUCUCAGGCCCAAUCAGGAGUGGUGACUCUCUCAGGGCUGAGAUCUUUGCAGUCUUGGAAGGUUCCCAAAGAGCAAAGGAUAUGAACAUUAGAAGGCUUGCAAUUGAAGGGGAUUCAGAGGUGGUGGUAGGGUGGCUGCAAGAAGACAAGGCUGGAUUAUGGAACUAAAACAACGAAAGGAGAAGUUUCAGGUGGCUGGUUAAGGACAUGGAAAUAAAGUUCAGUUGGGUGAAGAGAUCUGCUAGUUCGUUUGCUGAUGGGUUAGCUAAUCUAGGGGUGGACAGGGAAUCUACAUUUUGGGCUCAGUUGUAAAUCUGGUUUUCUCAUUCUGUUGGUUCAUGCCUCUGCUGGGGAGUUAAGAGAGUUUAUCUCCCCCUUUGUACAAUUAAUUAUUCUGAUUGAUUAAUGAAAGUUUUGUUAUUGAUAAAAAAAUCUGUCUUCCUCUUACUGCAAUAUAUUUCUGCUUGAAAUGUAGGAUAAUUAAUCUAUCCAUAAUGACCAAAGCAGAAAGAAUUGUGGGAGGAUUGACAAUGUGACAUGAGAAGGGGCACCCUGAACUAAGGGUGUCAAUGGAUUGGAUUUGGGUUGGAACCCAUCCGAAUCACAUCUAAAUUGGACGGUACAAAUUUUGGUAUUGGGUUGGACUGGUCCAUGUUUUAUGGUCUGAUAAUAAUUAGUGGACCGAAAUGGAUGAACUCAAUUUCUCCACAAACCAUCUGAAAAUCCAUCGCAGGCUAAAUCUUCAGACUGAGGACUCCUAUCUAGGUUCUCUCAGGUCAGUGAACUGUCUCUCUGGUGAUUUUCAAUCUUUGGCAGCUUUCUCCCUCCAGCGUCUCUGGCAGCUAUCUCUCUUCCAUGGCAUUUCUAACACGGGCUUCUCAGGCAUCAGUCUUCUCCCUCCGGCAUCAGGUUUCUCAGCAUUCACCAUAAAUGUGAAUGAGUAUUUACAGAAGGAAUUCUUUAAAAAAGAGUUACCAGAUAAAAAUGAUAUUAUUGUAGAAUGCUUAUUUUUUCUAUUAGCAUUAUGGCAUAAUUCAUGUAUCAUCUGGACAUUGACUUCUCUUUUUUGUGUCUCUUUGCUGUUAUUAUGUACUAAUAAAAUACUGUAAAUUGGGAUUCGAUUAUUCUCCACAGCUUUACCAAACAUGUGGUCACUAUGAAACCCAGAACGGCCUGUUAAAAAGGCAUUUGCUUCAUUAAUGCUUGAUAGAGCUGCAGUACUGUCUGUGGGUCUGGCAUUGCCAUGGUGAAGUAGGAUGUGGCCAGUUAUGGCCUGUGCCAUGUUUAAAAAGGGUUCCAAUUUAAUGGUUUGAACAUAAUCCAGAAACCAAUUAGCCAUACUGUUCUGUCAAUUCUAUUCUUGGCAAAACUGCACAUACAAAUGCAUUUUGCAUUUAUACAGCUUAAACACGACUGACUAGCUACAGUUGUACAUGCACUGUCCCCUUAAACAAUAGUCAUAAGUUCAUGUUUAACUGUGAUAUGUUCGGUACUGAUGACUUUAAAUCUGAGAAAGAGGGGUUUAUUUGUUCAUAUUCUUGUUACUGUAACAUGCUUCAUUUGUUAUAUGGAGAUGCUCUGGAUAUAAUGCAUGCCCAUAUCUUCUAGGGUGGAACACAGUUCUGUUAUUAGUUUUACAGGGGCGUUAUUUCUCUGUUAGCAUUUUAAUGAAUUUACUUCACAUGAUGGGGUCUAAAGGAACAUCUGGCUGAUCAGAUCAUCAGAUACUGUAAUUUCUUUGAUCAGAUACAACAUUCAGUUUAAUUAUAUGCACCAGAGAGCAAAUAAUUGGUUCUACCUGGAACAUAUGGUUGAAGAGGAACAACAACUUGGUUUUUUUUAGGUUUUCCUCCUUGACAUAAAUGUUAUGUUAUUUCUCAGUAACUUGGUUCUUUUGGUUGAACACAGGUGCCAGCCUGGGUGAUAUUGACAGGGAUUCUUUGGAAAUUUUGCACCCCUCACCAACUGCUGCUCAGUUGAGCAUGCUCCUCUCUCCAAGACCCCCUAACACCUCUAUCCUGUGUUUUGAGUCCAGAUGGUAAGCCUGCAAUGGGCUUUUAGUAGCCCAGUCAAGGCAGCUGUUGCUUCAGAACUGAGGUUAAAGUUCUUCUAGAGAGUCUUCAAAUAGCUUCAGAGCUGCUGCAAUGGCCUCUUCUUGAGGGUCUUCAAGUGAGUUAAAGUGAUAGCAAUUUUUAAACAGAUUGAGAAGAUGAUAUUGACCAUGAAGUGUUAGCAGAACUGGACAACAUUGAGCUCAAUGCUAUUAUGGUAGUAAAGAGGUAAGUGAUGACAAGGGUAUUAGAUUCAGCAUCUAACAGUUAUGACAAGCUGGAGAAUUUUGCAGCAGUUUUAGAACACUUGCAGCAGUAAGGAUAAAGUUCUCUUAUUGAUGGAGAGAAAGCUGUUGAGAUGCAACCUGAUGCAGUAGCAUUUGGAACACUUGCGGCAGAUGUUGCUCCCGGUAGUUGAUGAAUUUUUUGUAAGGAUGAACUGGACUUGGAUCUAAUAGUAAUCUGCUUGUAUGAAGCCUUGAAUUUUCUGCUAUUUGACAUCAUAGGGAAGAAUCUUAGGAUCAACAGAUAUGCAGAUAUCCCUUUACAGCUCAAAUGAGAAGUAAUUAUGUACUCUUCACGGGAAAUAUCAGUAAAGGAGCACAUUAAUACUGGAUUAA